GUCCCUUUUAAGUAUAUUUAUACAAAUACCACUCUUGUGAUAUUGUGAUAUCUUCACCAGAGUCCUUCAUUUAUGAAAACCAAGCUUUAAAUUAUCAAAAGGAAGGAAAAACUGAUGUCUCCAACAUCACUGGCAUGGACUCUUAUCUGGUGCCUUACAUGGGAUUUAAUUUCACCAGUAACUUCACAACAGAAUUGCUGGACCGAGAAAAGUCUCUGAAAGAAUGAUCCUGACUGAUGAUAUGAAAUACUUGCCUGGCCCCAGACCUGCAGGGGCUGUGGCUUUGGAAAUACCUGAGUUUGGAAUCUCCCCAUGUUCUUCUCCACCCAGUGUAUUUUCAGAGGCCCAGCCUGAGGAAGAGGUUGCUGAAACUGAGAGUGAAUCCCCCAAUACAGAAUCACUACAUCAAAUCCCAAGCACUGAACAGCAGCAAAUCAGUGAAGAAGCAGACGAGGAGAGAACAAACCUUCUAACAGAGGGAGAUUUCUGUUUGGACAAAAGUCAAACUUUACAGAUGAAGAGAAAAACAGACAGUCCUCCCAGAAAUGAGUCACCUUACAGGUUCUUGUUGUCUCUGUUCUGAAGGUUCUGAAAAAAGGAAGAAAAAAGCUUCAAAGAGUGACAGAGUUCCAUCUGGCAAAGAAAAGGUAUUCUCCAUCACCAUAAAUGCUACAGUUGGUAUUAGUGGGGC
rnacentral:lncRNA from 1 species